rnacentral:misc_RNA from 1 species
GUAUUUUGAAUUAUUUUAUUCGUAAUAUUUUUCAGACAAAGAGUUAAAGAGUUGGUUGAUGUUUGGUCGUUCCCAUAGAAGAGAACGACUGACAUUGCACACAAGGUGGAUAUGGAUUUAAAAAGCGCCAUAAAACGCUUAUUGUGAAUGAUCCUUCCGCAGGUUCACCUACGGAAA